UGAAAACGCGCGUUGCAACUUGCAUGCGAUGGCAUACAUUGGAGGUAGAAGAGAGUAAAUGUGCUUCAAUAGCAUUAACAUUCGCAUUUGGUACUUCUAAUGCUCAAGAUAAUACCAAUCUGCCAAGGUUUUGUUCAGCAGCAAUGCUAAGAAUAUCUUGCAAGGUUUAUUUCAAUGGCGAGCACAACAAUGUCUACAAUUUGAACUCAUUGAAGUUUUAGGUGAGAUAAUACCAAUCUACCAAGGUUUAGCUUAGCAACGGCGAUAACAAUAUCUGCCAAGGUUUAUUUCAACGGCAAGUAGAACAAUAUCUGCAAUUUGAACUUAUUGAAGUUUCAGAGAUAGCUAUUAAUAGAAAACAACAUACCCAUGCUUCCAUUCGGUACCAAUUACACGCAAACAGUUUCAAGUCAUUUCCAAAUUCAUACUUCAUAUGUUCUUUGCAACUUUACAAAAUUAAUCCUUCUAAUGCCCCCCUCCUUCAAUGCAGGCAAAAUCUUUUGACCAACCAAACUAAAUGAGUUUUUCUAUUUCACCAAUAUCCUUUCAUUUUGUUCCACAUAUUUUAGUUACCUCUUUAUAAGAUAGCUGCAACCUAUUGCCUGUCCACUUCAAUCACUGUCAAUCAACCGUUCAAUGCAGUUUCUUCCUACACAAUGCAGACAGGAUUGCUAAUAUAUUCCAUUGGUUACCUUGCACUUUCAAGCCUCAGCUCUCAUGCAUUGCAACAAAAAAACAACUUCAAGAUGUUUUGAAACUUCGCUGCAUUCCAGAUUUAUCACACUAAUUAUGAACAAUUGUCCUUGGGAAAUUUUCUUAAUGCGCCCUCCACGAUAAUUCUUUCCUGCAUUCAAUUCUUCCUGUGCAUUUUCUAAGGAUUGCAUGUCAUACACACUACAAUAAUUACAAAUUGCCUCUUAGAAUUCUAUGAAGGUUGAUGUACUUGGCAGGGAUGACAUUCCUCACCAUGAUGUGCAAAAUGCUUUAAAACUGAGCAAGGGUUGUAAUUUAAACAAAAUUGAUUGUGUUAGUUUCAUGUUGUUACUCAUCAAGAAUGCAAAUUACUUGGACAUAAGCCAUUACAUAUCUUAUGGCUUUUAGCAGCUCUCUAAAUAUUUGAUUCUUUAAGAAAUGUUUUUUAACAUGUAAGAACAGGUUGUUCUGAUACAUGAAGGUGUUGAUAAUCAUCUGGUCAUUAACAUUCAAUUUGUUUUAGAGGAGUUGUUUAAAUCUAGACUCAAUCAACUACUAUUUACAAUUAUUAAGGUUGUGACACUCACUUUUUUUUA